rfam:Triticum aestivum genome assembly, contig: Triticum_aestivum_CS42_TGACv1_scaffold_161724_2DL
GUUAGCCGUGUGAUGGGAAACCUUCCCGCACGGUUCGGGGAGCACUGAAGACAAAUGAGAGGUUCACUCAAU